UACAGAGGUCCCGAGCGUUGUUCGGAUUCACUGGGCGUAAAGGGUGCGUAGGUGGCAGGGUAAGUCGGAUGUGAAAGCUCGGAGCUCAACUCCGAAAUGGCAUUGGAAACUACCCAGCUCGAGGGUUGGAGGGGGGACUGGAAUGCUUGGUGUAGCAGUGAAAUGCGUAGAUAUCAAGCGGAACACCAGUGGCGAAGGCGGCCCCCUGGGCCGAACCUGACGCUGAGGCGCGAAAGCGUGGGGAGCAAACAGG
rnacentral:rRNA from 1 species